rnacentral:lncRNA from 1 species
CUGCAUAUAUGCUAUUAGUUUGUGGCUAAUUUGCUUGAUCUUGCCGUCCAUUUCAUGGUUCAACUUGUAUAUAUAGUUCUACUGUCUGCACUUGAAACCAAUCGUCACUUCUAUUCAGAAGUUAAUUGGCAAAAGUUUGUUGUUUUGUGGAAUGUUACAAACAGGUGAGGCAAUUUGGUGAGAGACAUGAGAAAAUGAAAAGCUUCAGACACAGGAAUGGGGGCACAGUUCUUGACUGAAGUUGUUUCGGAAGAGUAUGGGGAUCUAUGUUUUAUUAUAUAGUUAACUUCUUACCUACAUAACAAUCACAGUAAUAUAAU